GGUUAAAGAUACAGCCAACAUUAUAAAAAAGUGAGAUAUAACAAAAAGAAAAGAGGCUAACUUAGCUUUGAAUGAUAAUAUCACGUCUUUUUUUUGUCAUGCUUCUUUUCAUUCUUAGUCACCCAUUUUUAAAGUUGCUUUAUUUUCUCUCAAAUAGCCUACUUUUAACAACUUUGAAAUUUGAAAAUCAUUGCAUGCCAAAGCACAAUGGGUAUUUUUCCUGGUCCUCAGAUAUAUAACAUGCAUAAAAGAUAAAAGUGUUUCACUCAGCAAGAGACUUUCCUGCGUCUUACACUCUACAGUUCACCAAGGAACAUAUGUUUGGAUUUUCUCAACAUCAGCCAUCAGACGUCCAAAAGGCUUUAAUCUAACUGUGUUAUAAAUACCAUCAGUACUCUAAGAGAUCCUCAGCUCUCCCUCAGUAGCAUGUUGAGUAACAUCCAACCUGAGGGGCCCGUCAUCCGGAACUACAUUGACAACCAUUCUAUUUUGUCUAUCCAUGUGGUUUUCUGGAUAAAAUACAGGACUGGUUUACCAUUGCCUUCUCCUGCACAGUAUGAAAUGAUGCCUUUGUCAUUGUCACUGAAGUGAUCGUCCGCCUCCAGCACCUUCCUAUUUCACUGCUGCCCAAUACAGGUGCCUGCCUCCUUUAGCUGGGCAGCUCAGCUGACCUUUGUGCUUUGGGUGACCCUACUGGGAGUAUACCUCCCAGGGUACUUUGCUCAUCCCUCUCAGAAACACCCCCUCACACACACCCCAUGAUGAGGCAUCACAGCAGGACUUGUGGGGGGUGACUGUACCCGUGUUCAUUUUAAAAGUGAACCUGGGUACAGGCCCUUCAAAUGCAUGGUAUAGAUAGGGAGUGUAAUUCUGUACCACUGUUCAGCAUAACAUGUGAAUGAAAAACAUGUGAAUGACUGUGCCUGUGUACAGAUCUGUAUCUGUGACUUGUACACUUGUUGUACAUGUGUUGAGCUUGUGAAUGGGCCUACUGCCAUUCUGUUUCCUAACAUUCCACUCACUGGUCAAGCAGGGUGUCACCAUGUUUGUACUACCAUGCUUGAGGUUGUGUACUACCACAACCCCUUAUUAGUUGUGGGCCAUCUUAAUCUUAAAACCUGCUUUUCAUGUAAUACAUCCAGGUUUUCCUUCUUUUUUUUCCCCACCGCAAGAGCAAAAUCAGCUGUCAGAACAAAGUAUAUAUGACCAUUUUAUUGCUUUUGAGAGGGAACAAAGAAUAACUCACAUAUUUUGUGCGUGUGUUAGCAUCACACAUAUUCAGCUUCAGCAAUUUAUGCAUUGUGAUGGUGACAGCUAUGGUGCUAUUCCUAUUCAGAUGAUUAAUAGAACUACAGACUUUUAAAUGAUAUAAAUGAGCCAAGAUGGAGUGUUUUUAGAUGCACAACAUUGGUAACAUACAUAAAAUGUGUUACCAAAAAUAGAAUCCAAUUAAUUAUCCUGUCAGAAAAUUAUGCAAUUGUACCUCAACUGUACUGUUUAUCAAAGUUCAGCUUGUUCUUGUAUUUGCUUGUUGAAUACCUCAGGAAUUGAAUUCAUGUGGAAGGAAGGUUUUAAUGGUUCUGUGGCAUUCUCAUUGUACCUGUUCAAAGGGGGAAAAACCUUACUUGGAAAUACCCUUGUGGAAAUGUCUUAAAUGACUUAAUAAAAGUUAUUAUACAUUUUA